GCAUUUUCUCUGCGUCUUCGUUUCUCAAAUCCUUUAAAAUAUAAAUGUCCGUUUUUAGGUUUUUCCGUGUCCGCAUUUUCAUAUUCGGGCUACAUAGGCUAAAAGACACCCACAAUUAGUAUAUGUCACAAAAUCAAUUGUAAAUAACUAAAGCUUGACAAUCUGGCCUUGUUUCCAUAUUAGGCUACCUCAUUUUGGAAAUAAACCAGAA
rnacentral:misc_RNA from 1 species